GCCCAGCCGCCCAUGGACACCGCGCCGCGCGCGCAGCGCUCGGCUCCCCACUGCCCUGCGCCGCUCGCCGCCCGGGCCCCCGCCGGGCCCCGACACGGACGACGUGCGACAGCAGAUCAUGGCUAUCAUCGACCAGAGCUUGGACGAGGUGCAGGCCAGAAAGCAUGCUCUGAAUUACCGUCAGAUGAAGCCUACUCUCUUCAGUGUGCUCUGUGAAAUCAAGGAAAAGACAAGUAGGCCAUUGAGAAGACACUUCCUGUGUGGAUCCAGGACCUCGACAACCACAUGCUUCUGGUCCUGGCUUGGCCCUAACGUGCAUCAUGGGCCGUCUUGCCCAUCGCAUCUUUCUCUGGCUGCAGAUGGUUCAGGCUCCUGGUCUCAUCGUCUUGACCGGCACCUGAGGACAGAGCCGAGAAGGGGCCUCACCCAUGUCUGACUUGAAGCAGUGCCUCUAAAGGUCCCCAGUAAGUCUGAGGGUGCUGUGUGGUUUGGAGAGACGCCGUUAUCACGUGACAGACUUUGGAAGCACCUGUGUUUGGAGAUAAAUCCUCGUGGUUAUGAUUCAUGUAUUUAUGCACAUACACGCACAGAGAUGCUGCUGAUGUUGGUUUGCUGGUCACUUAUUUAAAUGGCUUAAAUGAAUGAGGCUGGGCUGCGAUUUCCUCAUGGAGCUCCUGUCCUGAGUUCUCCAUAUGGCCCCGGGCAGCUGGCAGGGGGCCACCCCCCCCCAGUGUCAACUCAGACGCAUCGUGGCUUGCCAGCACUCGCGUUUUUACUGUGCAUGCAGCUGAUUAACCUCAGAAAAUCCAGAACCAACAGCAGACAGCACUCCCCGAGCCACUGCCCAGAGACACCGCCGCCAUCUUUUGCUUGGCGGCUGAGAUUUGAAAUUGGUUGAGACACUGCACAUUUUUCCAAUUCUGUUUUUUAAAUAGUAAUUUUAUGGUAAGACUAUGAAUUCUUUUCUAGGGCUUGUCACAAAUUCUCCCAUUAAAAUUUUUGACUUAUUUUAAUAUCAGUGUUGUUCACCACCAGAUUUGUUCUGGGGAUGGUUGACAGCGCAGGCACGGGGUCAGAGCUGCGCAGUCGUGCACGUGUGACUCCAAUGCUAUUUGUCCCUUCCUGUGCCGACUCAUCAGACGCUGCUCCUCCCACACUCUCCUGUCCUGUAGUUCACACGGUUUUGAUUAAAGUCUAUUGUGAGCUCACAAUUUUACUGGGAAUUGAUUUUGCACUUUUUUUUCUGUUCUACCAUUUUCAGUUGAAAUGUCAUUAAAGAUGAUAAACUUCCCGA